rnacentral:rRNA from 1 species
AUUGAACGCUGGCGGCAUGCCUUACACAUGCAAGUCGAACGGUAACAGGUCUUCGGAUGCUGACGAGUGGCGAACGGGUGAGUAAUACAUCGGAACGUGCCUAGUAGUGGGGGAUAACUACUCGAAAGAGUGGCUAAUACCGCAUGAGAUCUACGGAUGAAAGCAGGGGAUCGCAAGACCUUGUGCUACUAGAGCGGCCGAUGGCAGAUUAGGUAGUUGGUGGGAUAAAAGCUUACCAAGCCGACGAUCUGUAGCUGGUCUGAGAGGACGAUGAGCCACACUGGGAAUGAGACACGGCCAAGACUCGUACGGGAGGCAGCAGUGGGGAGUUUUGGACAAUGGGCGCAAGCCUGAUCCAGCAAUGCCGCGUGCAGGAUGAAGGCCUUCGGGUUGUAAACUGCUUUUGUACGAAACGAAAAGCCCUGGGUUAAUACCCUGGGGUCAUGACGGUACCGUAAGAAUAAGCACCGGCUAACUACGUGACAGCCGCCGCGGUAAGAC